UCGGAUUGUAGUCUGCAACCCGACUACAUGAAGCCGGAAUCGCUAGUAAUCGCGGAUCAGAAUGCCGCGGUGAAUACGUUCCCGGGUCUUGUACACACCGCCCGUCACACCAUGGGAGCCGGUAAUGCCCGAAGUCUGUGGCCCAACCGAGAGGGGGGAGCAGCCGAAGGCAGGCCCGGUGACUGGGGUGAAGUCGUAACAAGGUACC
rnacentral:rRNA from 1 species